rnacentral:lncRNA from 1 species
ACUUCUCUGCUGGUCCCUGCCUGUGUAAACACCAUGACUCUGGGUUCUGCUCAGCAGACUGAAGGGAACACAACUAUGAUGAUUCUCUAUGCUGUACUUGGAGAAGGCUGGUUAGUCAUAAGUUUUAAAGCAGGUCAGUAUGGUGGAUUUCCAGUCUGCCAGCCUCCUUUGCAGUGGGUUGGGACCGAGUGACGGCUUCUGGCAAAUGAACUGGAGACCAUGAUGAUGACAUUUGGAAGCAUCUCAGGAGACAAGAAUAAAACGCCAUUUUUUUUCCCACUUCGCUAACAACUCAGUGUUCUGAAAAGUCUGGAAUGUGCUAUGAAAAGUUUGUGUGCUUAGUGAAAUGUUGUACAAUUGGCCAAUCCACUAAGUCUUGGGAAAUGUCUUAGGAGCUUGGCAAGAAGAAGUUCUCAAGAGAGCCUGAAUGCUGCCAGUUUCCAAUUGGCCAAGACACAUUACAAGGACAACUGUCUCUCUGAGCAACCUGGCAUUUCCACUCCAAUUGGAAUCUGCAAGGGGAAGAUGCGCAGGGGAAGAAGAUUAAACAAACCUUUUCAGAUUUCUGGUCCAGGUUUUUAGAUCAAAAAGAAUUGUACUCAAGGAAUUGAAGCUAUGGAGCCUCUGCCACAUCUGGACCUGAUUUUGAUGACAAGAUCCUGUACCUCAAGCCCGAGACUAAUUUCAUAAUUUGAUGAAUCUUUUUGGAGAGUCAUGGGAGGAAUGUAAACAAUUUGUGGCCAAAGGAGAAUUAUGGUAGUUUGAAGAUGUGGAUACAAAUUAUUUGACAUUCUUCUCAUAGAAAGGUAACUCCAUAGCUGGGAGCCAAGUCUCGAAGCCCCAUGAGGGGAAGUGGAUACAUCUCAGAAUUGGGUUUCCUGAUACACACGACUGCAUCCUUCAUCUGCCAGGCCCUGGCAUUGUUUACUGGAGAAGAUGUCAUAGGAAAUUGGGCUAUGUCAUUGAGCCACUGGAGUCACACAUGAACAGCCAUUUGGAGAUUCUGGAAUUGAUGGUUCAGAUGAAGACAUGGAAGCAUAAGAAAUUGCCAAUAUUCACUUUGGGAGACCGAGACGGGCAGAUCACCUGAGGUCAGGAGUUCGAGACCAGCCUGGCUAAUAAGGUAAAACCCCAUUUCUACUAAAAAUACAAAACAAAAAAAUUAGCUGGGCGUGGUGGCACAUGCCUGUAAUCCCAGCUACUCGGGAGGCUGAGGCAGGAGAAUGGUGUGAACCCGGGAGGCAGAGCUUGCAGUGAGCCGA